rnacentral:lncRNA from 1 species
AAUAACAACAUAAAUAUUCCAAUUACACAAAAUGAAAACAGAUUUUGCAAUAAAAUCAUUAAAGAACAAUUAAGCGAGUGGAGUGGAUAAAACUGUAAACGAACAUAUUAAGUCUACAUAUCACAUCAUGAAAGAUUUUUUCAGGUCUAGAUGCUAUGAACAUCAGACGCUAUUAUGACCCUAGAGCAUGAACAUGAAUCUUUAUUAGUUGAACAAACUACGCUACAAACAGUAUAUUAGAAAUAACCGUUAGAGACCACGAAUUUAACCGAAGGAAAGGAAGCGUACCAAAGUAUGGAACAUUAAGAAAAUUGAAUGAUAUAUCAAGAGGUGUUUGACCAGUUAAGUCACAUUACAGAGUUGACGAGUCCACUAAGACUAUAUUUUGAGCGAACUCACAAAUUAAAAUAUAGUGCAACAGUUAUGCUGUAUACAGUGGAUUGAAACUGAUAACCUAUAACAAGAAAAUGUUCGGCUGCGAUUAAAUCCGUCUUCUCUGAAAAUGAACAAACAUAAUUAUGAUGUUUUCUGUUGACUGACAUCACAAAUUUAAAUGCCAACUAUACUGUUUUCAAUUUUGCCUUAAUAAAUUUGCAUGUGUCCAAGAUUACAUCUUUUUGGAUACCGUGCAACUUGGAUUUUGUCUUUUCCGAAGUUGUUUGUUGUAUUUCUUCUUUCUGUUUAAAACCAUUCAAUUUUCCAAUCAGAAACUUUAAACGACAAAAUUUAGCACGUGAAUAAAAUGAUGGGAACUACAUUCAUGUUUCAGCAGAUGUUACACUAUAACAUAGAUGAGUUAAACAUUUUAUCUCAGUUUUACUCUCAUUGUACAGCGUCCAUCUCAUUGUACAGCGUCCAUGUGUUUUAGUGUUAGUAUCGAAUUAUUUAUUGUUUUGAUACACAGUAGUAUGACUUAUAGGAUAUUCAAAGACGACGAUUUAUGUUUCAGAAACAAAAUAUGAACUAUGCCGCAUGUCCGUAAAGGGGUAUUUUACAUGUAUCUUAUCACCAACACUCAAAAGCCUUGUUUCGUAUUAUGAUCAUGUUAUAUCGACACAAGGUUGCGCAGGUGGAUAAACAACUACUAUAACUUCUAAUGAGUUCAAAACAUUUUGCAUCAUAAUCAUAUCUUAAGCAUGGGGUAUAUUUUUGUACAUUUAAUCUAGAAAUGAAACUUAACAUAUGCAUUUAUGUCAUUAUGUUAUUACAUCACUGUUGUAAAUAAAUGUGUUGUUGCUUUUUUCCUAUCAAAACUACAUGUACUAAUAUUUUACGAAAAACAACAUUUAUGAACAAAUCAUGUUUCCUGGUAGUUUGUUGUUUCAUGUGACGACAAAUGACGUUGAAGCACAAACCGUGAACGGGAUUUCUUUUCACAAAUACCACAUUCCAGAGGAGAAUUCCCAUCGCUGUCUCAGUCUUGCGUUUUUGCCUGAAAAAUAAAUUGAACAAGGAAAUACAAUACUGUAGA